AUAAGCGCCGGUAAGGUGAUAUGAACCGUUAUAACCGGCGAUACCCGAAUGGGGAAACCCAGUGUGAUUCGUCACACUAUCAUUAACUGAAUCCAUAGGUUAAUGAGGCGAACCGGGGGAACUGAAACAUCUAAGUACCCCGAGGAAAAGAAAUCAACCGAGAUUCCCCCAGUAGCGGCGAGCGAACGGGGAGGAGCCCAGAGCCUGAAUCAGCAUGUGUGUUAGUGGAAGCGUCUGGAAAGGCGCGCGAUACAGGGUGACAGCCCCGUACACAAAAGCGCAUGUGCUGUGAGCUCGAUGAGUAGGGCGGGACACGUGGUAUCCUGUCUGAAUAUGGGGGGACCAUCCUCCAAGGCUAAAUACUCCUGACUGACCGAUAGUGAACCAGUACCGUGAGGGAAAGGCGAAAAGAACCCCGGCGAGGGGAGUGAAAAAGAACCUGAAACCGUGUACGUACAAGCAGUGGGAGCCCCACCACCAAAGCAUUUGCUGUACCGCGUUGACGGAGCGAAGCGACGU
rnacentral:rRNA from 1 species